CGCCCUUUGCUGCAUACCCGUGUUGUUGUCAGUGUCGCUAUGGUCCUAGCGAGGGUAGUUCACUAGCCCCCGGCAGAAUGCGCCUCAGACACGGGAGCUACAGCUACUACACAGGUAGUUAAAACCAAGCUGAAACUGCCUUUCAAGAAUAAGUUUUAGUGGAAGAAUCAAAAUUGAGCCUGCCAAUGUAGGAAAAUCCAAUUGUGUUAUGAAAUACUUCUACUUCAUGGGAACAGUGCGCUAGGAUACGUCAUCUACAGAACAUGGAAGUGCAAGCAAGGAGCAGCAUACUUGGAUUUGAUUCUGCAUCAGUCUGUUCUCACUGAAAUUGCUUUUUCCUUCACCGCACUUGUUGUCGGAGGUCCUGCAAAACUCUGCGAGCUGAAAAGUUGUGGUCACUCAGGGUUGCUCAUCCUAUUUGCUGAACAACACGUCAACAACAGAGCUGGGAGCAGAGGAGCUGUGUGUUCCUCAGGCAAAUAGGAAAUUGGAAACCCACUAACAUGUCAGGUCUGGGGCCCAGAGUGGAUCCUUUGACUCAGUCACUGAAACCACACUAGGACAGUAAAGAAAAUCAGUCUGCUGCAAAAAAAUUCCUGCCUCGGACAGAGCUGAAUUUUCUGCGGUAAGGUUUCCAACACGUUCUGUCAAUUUGGGUGAAGCGUGCAGGAGGCCACAGAACUGUGUAUACCAGCUGAAAAAUUUUUGACUCAGUGAGGCUAUUAAUGAUGAAAUGAAUAAAUCAUUUUAAAAUGACAAGCUAAUCCCUGUGU